AGAGUUUGAUCCUGGCUCAGAGCGAACGCUGGCGGCAGGCUUAACACAUGCAAGUCGAGCGGGCGUAGCAAUACGUCAGCGGCAGACGGGUGAGUAACGCGUGGGAACGUACCUUUUGGUUCGGAACAACACAGGGAAACUUGUGCUAAUACCGGAUAAGCCCUUACGGGGAAAGAUUUAUCGCCGAAAGAUCGGCCCGCGUCUGAUUAGCUAGUUGGUGAGGUAACGGCUCACCAAGGCGACGAUCAGUAGCUGGUCUGAGAGGAUGAUCAGCCACAUUGGGACUGAGACACGGCCCAAACUCCUACGGGAGGCAGCAGUGGGGAAUAUUGGACAAUGGGCGCAAGCCUGAUCCAGCCAUGCCGCGUGAGUGAUGAAGGCCCUAGGGUUGUAAAGCUCUUUUGUGCGGGAAGAUAAUGACGGUACCGCAAGAAUAAG
rnacentral:rRNA from 1 species